AACGAACGCUGGCGGCAGGCUUAACACAUGCAAGUUGAGCGGGAUUGGUUGGUAGCUUGCUACUAAUCAUGAGAGCAGCGCACUGGUGAGUAACACGUGGGAACAUACCUUUUGGUGGGGGACAACAGUUGGAAACGACUGCUAAUACCGCAUACGCCCUGAGGGGGAAAGGAGAGAUUUGCCGAAAGAUUGGCCCGCGGAAGAUUAGGUAGUAGGUGGGGUAAUGGCCUACCUAGCCGACGAUCUAUAGCUGGUCUGAGAGGACGAUCAGCCACAUUGGAACUGAGACACGGUCCAGACUCC
rnacentral:rRNA from 1 species